CGUCCUUGGGCAGCGGCAGCACGCCCGGCAGCUUGAAGCUGGCGUCGAGCACUUUGACGUUGGAAUCGUUGAUGUGCGC
rnacentral:tRNA from 1 species